rnacentral:rRNA from 1 species
AACGAACGCUGGCGGCAUGCCUAACACAUGCAAGUCGAACGAAACCUUCGGGUCUGGUUGCUUACGGGUGAGUAACCCGAUGGAACCUUCCCUUAGGGUCGGGAUAACUCCGCGAAAGGGGCCCUAUUACGGGAUAAAGUCUUCGGACAAAAGUUUUAUUGCCUUUGGAUGGGCCCGCGUUGGAUUAGCUAGUUGGUAAGGUAAAAGCCGACCAAGGCGACGAUCCAUAGCUGGUCUGAGAGGAUGAUCAGCCACACUGGGACUGAGACACGGCCCAGACUCCUACGGGAAGCAGCAGUGGGGAAUAUUGGACAAUGGACGAAAGCCUGAUGCAGCAAUGCCGCGUGAGUGAUGAAGGCAUUAGGGUUGUAAAGCUCUAUUACCAGGGAUGAUAAUGACAGUACCGGAAGAAUAAGCUCCGGCUAACUCCGUG